rnacentral:rRNA from 1 species
UACAGAGACCUCAAGCAUUAUCCGGAUUUAUUGGGCGUAAAGGGUCCGCAGGUGGUCGUGCACGUCGGGGGUUAAAUGUACGGGCUCAACCCGUACACCGCUUCCGAUACGACAUGACUAGAGGGUGGGAGAGGUGAGCGGAAUUACAGGUGUAGUAGUAAUAUGCGUUAAUAUCUGUAAGAACACCAAAUGCGAAGGCAGCCCCCUGGGUCAAAACUGACGCUCAUGCACGAAAGCGUGGGGAGCAAACAGG